rnacentral:rRNA from 1 species
AACGAACGCUGGCGGCAUGCCUAACACAUGCAAGUCGAACGAGACCUUCGGGUCUAGUGGCGCACGGGUGCGUAACGCGUGGGAACCUGCCCCUAGGUUCGGAAUAACUCCCCGAAAGGGGUGCUAAUACCGGAUAAUGUCUUCGGACCAAAGGUUUCUCGCCUUUGGAUGGGCCCGCGUUGGAUUAGCUGGUUGGUAGGGUAAAAGCCUACCAAGGCGACGUUCCCUAGCUGGUCUGUGAGGAGGGUCAGCCACACUGGGAGUGAGACACGGCCCAGACUCCUACGGGAGGCAGCAGUGGGGAAUAGUGGACAGCGGGCGAAAGCCUGAUCCAGCAAUGCCGCGUGAGUGAUGAAGGCCUUAGGGAUGUAAAGCGCUUUUACCCGGGAUGAUAAUGACAGUACCGGGAGAAUAAGCUCCGGCUAACUCCGUG